rnacentral:rRNA from 1 species
UACACGACCGUACCGCAAACCGACACUGGUGCGCGAGAUGAGUAUUCUAAGGCGCUUGAGAGAACUCAGGAGAAGGAACUCGGCAAAUUGACACCGUAACUUCGGAAGAAGGUGUGCCUUUAGUAGGUGAACCAUUUACUUGGGGAGCCCAAUGAGGCUGCAAAAAAUCGGUGGCUGCAACUGUUUAUUAAAAACACAGCACUCUGCUAAGACGAAAGUCGACGUAUAGGGUGUGACGCCUGCCCGGUGCUGGAAGAUUAAAUGAUGGGGUGCAAGCUCUUGAUUGAAGUCCCAGUAAACGGCGGCCGUAACUAUAACGGUCCUAAGGUAGCGAAAUUCCUUGUCGGGUAAGUUCCGACCUGCACGAAUGGCGUAAUGAUGGCCACACUGUCUCCUCCUGAGACUCAGCGAAGUUGAAAUGUUUGUGAUGAUGCAAUCUCCCCGCGGAAAGACGGAAAGACCCCAAGUACCUUUACUGUAGCUUUGUAUUGGACUUUGAACAGAUCUGUGUAGGAUAGGUGGGAGGCUUUGAAGUGUGGUCGCUAGAUCGCAUGGAGCCAACGUUGAAAUACCACCCUGGUGUGUUUGAGGUUCUAACCUAGGUCCAUUAUCUGGAUCGGGGACAGUGCAUGGUAGGCAGUUUGACUGGGGCGAUCUCCUCCCAAAGUGUAACGGAGGAGUUCGAAGGUACGCUAGGUACGGUCGGACAUCGUGCUAAUAGUGCAAUGGCAUAAGCGUGCUUAACUGCGAGACUGACAAGUCGAGCAGAUGCGAAAGCAGGACAUAGUGAUCCGGUGGUUCUGUAUGGAAGGGCCAUCGCUCAACGGAUAAAAGGUACUCUGGGGAUAACAGGCUGAUACCGCCCGAGAGUUCAUAUCGACGGCGGUGUUUGGCACCUCGAUGUCGGCUCAUCUCAUCCUGGGGCUGUAGCCGGUCCCAAGGGUAUGGCUGUUCGCCAUUUAAAGAGGUACGUGAGCUGGGUUUAAAACGUCGUGAGACAGUUUGGUCCCUAUCUUCCGUGGGCGCUGCAGAUUUGAGGAAGCCUGCUCCUAGUACGAGAGGACCGGAGUGGACGAACCUCUGGUGUAUCGGUUGUCACGCCAGUGGCAUUGCCGAGUAGCUAAGUUCGGAAGAGAUAACCGCUGAAAGCAUCUAAGCGGGAAACUCGUUUCAAGAUUAGAUCUGCCGGGGCCUUGAGCCCCCUAAAGAGUCGUUCAAGACCAGGACGUUGAUAGGUCAGGUGUGGAAGC